rnacentral:rRNA from 1 species
AUUGAACGCUGGCGGAAUGCUUUACACAUGCAAGUCGAACGGCAGCACGGACUUCGGUCUGGUGGCGAGUGGCGAACGGGUGAGUAAUGUAUCGGAACGUGCCCAGUCGUGGGGGAUAACGUAGUGAAAAUUACGCUAAUACCGCAUACGAUCUAUGGAUGAAAGCGGGGGAUCGCAAGACCUCGCGCGAUUGGAGCGGCCGAUAUCAGAUUAGGUAGUUGGUGGGGUAAAGGCCCACCAAGCCAACGAUCUGUAGCUGGUCUGAGAGGACGCCUAGCCACACUGGAACUGAGACACGGUCCAGACUCCUACGGGAGGCAGCAGUGGGGAAUUUUGGACAAUGGGCGAAAGCCUGAUCCAGCCAUUCCGCGUGCAGGAUGAAGGCCCUCGGGUUGUAAACUGCUUUUGUACAGAACGAAAAGGUUUCUACUAAUACUAGGAGCUCAUGACGGUACUGUAAGAAUAAGCACCGGCUAACUACGUGCCAGCCGCCGCGGUAA